UGCUGAGCAGUUCCAGGUGAUCUUCCCCCUUUGGGGGGCCCCAGGGCCUCACCUCAUUCCGCUACCCACGCUGCCCGGACACCCCUUGGCUCUGGCCGGAGCUGUGCAAACUCGGGCUCUUCUUGGACAAGGACCAGGCCACGUUGGAGGCCCAAAUCCUGGCACAGGAGGGGGUCAGGGGCAGUUACCGCCAGUGCCUGCGCUGCCAGCACCUCAUCCAGCCCCUGGACCCCAGGAUCCUGCGCACCCCCUGCCUGCCUUGCUCCCAGCGGGCCAGGGGGCUGUACUGCUUCUGCUGGGGCUGCGGCACGGAAUGGAGGGACCCCUCAUCCAAUGCUGACUCGUGAUGCCCCCUACAGGCCAUGCUGCAUGAUGCCCCCAAGAUUGUCCAUCGACAGCCACCCCUCGCUGCAGGCCUGUCCCUGUUGCCACGCCCUCCUGAGCAACAUUGGGAAAGGCUGCCCCCUGGUGGUAUGCCCUGAAUGUGGGUUCCCAUUCUGCUAUCACUGCCUGGGACUGGCAGCUGGUCUGUGGGGGAGGGACCUUAACUCC
rnacentral:lncRNA from 1 species